rnacentral:rRNA from 1 species
AAAAGUAGUGAAGCGUGUGAGCCAUGUGCCGAGAAAAGCUGCUAUUGUGUAAUGCGUGCCCGUACCGUAAACCGACACAGGUGGAUGAGGAGAGAAUCCUAAGGCCGGCGGAAGAAGCAUUGUUAAGGAAUUCGGCAAAAUGACCCCGUAACUUCGGGAGAAGGGGUGCCUGCGAGAGCAGGCCGCAGAGAAUAGGCUCAAGCAACUGUUUAGCAAAAACACAGGUCUAUGCGAAACCGAAAGGUGAAGUAUAUGGGCUGACGCCUGCCCGGUGCUGGAAGGUUAAGAGGAGAGGUUAGCUUCGGCGAAGCUUUGAAUUUAAGCCCCAGUAAACGGCGGCCGUAACUAUAACGGUCCUAAGGUAGCGAAAUUCCUUGUCGGGUAAGUUCCGACCCGCACGAAAGGCGUAAUGAUUUGAGCACUGUCUCGACAAUGCAUCCGGUGAAAUUGAAGUACCAGUGAAGAUGCUGGUUACCCGCGCCAGGACGGAAAGACCCCAUGGAGCUUUACUCCAGUUUGAUACUGGGAUUCGGUACUGCAUGUACAGGAUAGGUGGGAGACGAAGAAGGAUGGACGCCAGUCUGUCCGGAGUCGCUGUUGGGAUACCACCCCUGUAGUACUGGGUUUCUAACCAGUUGCCAUGAACUGGCAAUGGGACAAUGUCAGGCGGGGAGUUUGACUGGGGCGGUCGCCUCCGAAAGGGUAUCGGAGGCGCUCAAAGGUUCCCUCAGAAUGGUUGGAAACCAUUUGAAGAGUGCAAAGGCAGAAGGGAGCUUGACUGCGACACCGACGGGUGGAGCAGGUACGAAAGUAGGACUUAGUGAUCCGGUGGUAUAAAGUGGGAUUGCCAUCGCUCAACGGAUAAAAGCUACCCUGGGAUAACAGGCUUAUCACUCCCAAGAGUUCACAUCGACGGAGUGGUUUGGCACCUCGAUGUCGGCUCAUCGCAUCCUGGGGCUGUAGCAGGUCCCAAGGGUUGGGCUGUUCGCCCGUUAAAGCGGUACGCGAGCUGGGUUCAGAACGUCGUGAGACAGUUCGGUCCCUAUCCGGCGCGGGCGGAGGAUAUUUGAGAGGAGCUGUCCUUAGUACGAGAGGACCGGGAUGGACGGACCACUGGUGUAUCUGCUGUCGACCAACGGCAUGGCAGAGUAGCCAAGUCUGGAAGGGAUAAACGCUGAAGGCAUCUAAGCGUGAAGCCCCCCUCAAGAUGAGAUAUCCCUCCUUCGGGAGUAAGACCCCUUGAAGACUACAAGGUAGAUAGGGCAGAGGUGGAAGCAUGGCAACAUGUGGAGCUGACUGUUACUAAUAGGUCGAGGGCUUAAC